rnacentral:lncRNA from 1 species
GUUAAGUGGGUAGUUUUUUAUACUGUCAAAAAAAAAGUGGGUAGUUUUUUAGGUCGAGGGACGUACGUUGGAGGUGACACCCCAGUUUUAACACGUUAUUUUCUUUUCGUCCAAGAGUCUAGAUUUUUUGGGAGAGCCAACUUUUUUGUUUUUUCAUGUACUCUGGACGUGGCAGUUCAAUUUUUCUUCUAACUUCCUAACGUGGCAUGUUCUUUUACUUUUCUUUCUAAAACUACGGUUUUUUUUCACGUCAGGGGCUGUAAAUUUGGACGUGACUAUCCACUUUUUUCUUCUUUCCUAAUAUUGUAUGUUGAUUUACUUACCAAAUAAAUUUUCUUCCUUCAAAAUAUACACAUGUUUAUGUGUGCAUAUGGCACGUUUGUUUUCUUAGGCCUCUUUUACUUUUCUUCCUUAAACUACGUAUGUUUUUUUUUAACGUCAGGGGCUGUAAAUUUGGACGUGACAAUCCACUUUUUUCUUCUUUCCUAAUACUGUAUGUUGAUUUACUUACCAAAUAAAUUUUCUUCCUUCAAAAUAUACACUUGUUUAUGUGUGCAUAUGGCACGUUUGUUUUCUUAGGCCCACCACGUUAUGUAUGUUACACAAAUUGAACGGCCAUAUAAUCUUAAUUUUAAGAGACCCACCAGAUCAAAGGCUAGUAUUUUCUGAUUAAUGUGGAAUUUCUAUUCUAAUUCUCUUAAUCUUGGUUCACCGUAUAUUACUUUUUAUAUAUACUAGCAAAAGAGCCCGUGCGUUGCAACGGGUUUGAGAAACCGUCAAAAUUGAGUGGGCAAAAAAAUGCAUUAGCAAUUUUAAGAAGUAAAGACACCUACAGAAUGACCAAAAGCCCAAAGAAUACACAUGCUUAGUAAAAAUUCGCUACCGCGGCCCUUCUGAUUUUGGCAACUAACACUAACUAAUUAGACUGAGGAAAGAACAUA